CAAGGGCAGAGGCAGAGUGGCCUUCCUCUUCCACAGGAGGAAGAGGACCAAAGGUCAGCCCCAGAGCAGCUGUAUCGCAGGGUGACAGCUAUUUUCCUUUCUUCCUCGUUUUUCAGUUGUAAGAGGUGGAUUUGUUGUAAAGCUGACCAAGUUUAAGCUUCCGAGCUCUUCACUUGCAAGGGUCCCUGUAUGUGCCGGGAAAUUCCAG